rnacentral:rRNA from 1 species
UACGUAGGGGGCAAGCGUUGUCCGGAAUCAUUGGGCGUAAAGAGCGUGUAGGCGGCUUGGUAAGUCCGCUGUGAAAGUCCAGGGCUCAAACCUGGAAUGCCGGUGGAAACUGUCAAGCUCGAGUCCGGAAGAGGCGAGUGGAAUUCCUGGUGUAGCGGUGAAAUGCGCAGAUAUCAGGAGGAACACCAAUGGCGAAGGCAGCUCGCUGGGACGGUACUGACGCUGAGACGCGAAAGCGUGGGGAGCGAACAGG